GGGAUGACUCCGCUUUUUCAGGGGACGUCUCCGCUACCUUAUCUCCGAAAAAAUCAUUCUCUGGAAAACCCUGAGAGAGCCGUCUCCGCUAUCUAGGGGACGACUCCGCUGGUCUGCUUUUUACUUGCAGGGACGACUCCGCAGGUACCGGGGACGUCUCCAGACGUGCCAGUUCUUCCUGUUUGUGCCAGAGACGUCUCUGAGACAACCCGGAGACGUCUCGGCUGUCCCUAAUCUGUUUUCUUCAACUCAAAAAUUCUUCAAUAAAUUCAUAAAAAUUAUGGGAACUUGCCUAGACGUCUCGGCUGUCCCUAACCUUAAUUAAACACAUGAAAUCCUCAAUUAAAUUGUUAAGAUAAAUGAAAUUAUACUCUCGUGUUUUGUAUUCAUCAAAAUCCAUUAGGUGGUCAACACGCGGCGUGCCUCAGAGGAACAGUCUGUUGUUGUCGAGAGAUUGUCGACUCGGGGUCGGAUUGCUGGAUCAAGGGGCAGC
rnacentral:lncRNA from 1 species